rnacentral:rRNA from 1 species
UACGUAGGGGCUAGCGUUAUCCGGAAUUACUGGGCGUAAAGGGUGCGUAGGUGGUUUCUUAAGUCAGAGGUGAAAGGCUACGGCUCAACCGUAGUAAGCCUUUGAAACUGAGAAACUCGAGUGCAGGAGAGGAGAGUAGAAUUCCUAGUGUAGCGGUGAAAUGCGUAGAUAUUAGGAGGAAUACCAGUUGCGAAGGCGGCUCUCUGGACUGUAACUGACACUGAGGCACGAAAGCGUGGGGAGCAAACAGGAUUAGAUACCCCGGUAGUCCCUGAG